UACGAAGGGGGCGAGCGUUGUUCGGAAUUACUGGGCGUAAAGGGCGCGCAGGCGGCCCUUGAAGUCAGGCGUGAAAGCCCCGGGCUCAACCUGGGAGGUGCGCUUGAUACUCGAGGGCUUGAGUGCGGGAGAGGAGAGUGGAAUUCCCAGUGUAGAGGUGAAAUUCGUAGAUAUUCGGAAGAACACCAGUGGCGAAGGCGGCUCACUGGCCCGAUACUGACGCUGAGGUGCGAAAGCGUGGGGAGCAAACAGGG
rnacentral:rRNA from 1 species